GUGACGACUACUCUGCUUACUGCGCUGAAGCUGCUGUCUCAGUUUGGCAAUCUGCUGGAAAGAAGUUCAGUUUACAACAGAAUACAUGUUACCGAAGAGCAUUUCAACUACUACUGUGUCAACGCUUACCCUACUGUUUCAUCUGUGAAACCGACAACCUCACCCUUAAGCCUGACCAAAAUUUCUAAACAAGAAUAUGGCAGCACAGA